UCACAGAUAAAGUGCAUUUUAUUUGGAAAAUGUUAUUAGUACAUGUUAUAGAAAUAAAAGGAUUCCCUCUACUAUUCACAGAUCUUUAAGUGUCACAAAAAGAAGCAUUAAAUCAUUACUAGGUGUAUACAAUUUUGUAAAAACAUGUGUGUAGUACAACAAUGUACAACCAGAGAAGUUGGACUAAAAAAGGCACAUUAAACAUAUUAUACAUAGCUUUAGUACAUGUGAAAAGAGCUUGCAUUUCUUCAACUACUCAGAAACUGGAACCUGUGCAAUCCCCUAUCUGGCAUGAAACACUGCAAUAUAACAUUUACAUUACAAAGUAAUAAAGGAUAUAGCAGUCUUUUGUUCUAAGGUUCAUAGCAAACAAGCAAUCUUAAAAAAAAAUAAAAAAUAAUCAUGUGCAUUCUGAGAAAUGCUACAAAUAAAAUAUAGAUACAAUGUAAAAACCAAUAUUGCUUAAAAAAUAUUUAAUAUAUUAGGAAAAUAGUUGAAGGAAUGUUAGGUUUUAUUAAAUUGUUUUUAAGCUGGUACAGUACAUUGUAUGGUAGCAGUCUUAAUUUAGGACCUGCUAUUUAAACCACACGACUAUGUACACUGCUAGACAUUUUUGGCAUUGAAAGGUUACAAGGAAACUAACAAAAUUACAUCAGAAAAAACUGAUUCUUUCCAUAUCUUAAAAGCCAGAUUUCAUACAUUUCAAAUUGACAAAAUAGGCAAUAUGUUUUAGAGUAUACAAAACCAGACAUUAUUUUCACAACUACAAAGCAAAAUGUAACUUUUUCUUUUUACUCUCUCAGGGGGCCUAAGGCCAGUAGUGCAUGCGUGUAUGUUUGCUGAAACAUACAAUUCAAUAAUGGAAAUGGAAAAGUGCCAAAAUAAUAAAGGACAAUUUUUGUAGUUGAUCAAGAGACAACCUGAUGGGGGAGAGCAUGGGGCUAGGUUAACAUAAGAAUUGUUUAAUGGUAACUUCAUGUUCUAUUGGGGCUCUACAAUAUAAACUAAGUUACAAGUAAUUCAGUGGGGAGAUGGAUUAAUCUGCCAAGGCAAUGCGUCUCAUAAAAUACCAUUUAUAGAGAAGUAUUAAUACCAAUGAUGCUCUAUCAGGAACCCUCACUUCCACUUUGAGCAAGAGCAAAACGUUCUCAGCUUUAGGAGUUUGUAACAUUCCUUUAAACUACAGUGGUUUAUAAAAUCUGAAAUAUAAACCAACUCAGAAGCCCUCUAGCUUGAACAUCACUGUGUGAUGUCCUCUAGAAUGAUAUAAUUGCAGGAAUAAACAAGGUAUUGAUGAGUUUUUAUUUUUAUUUGGUUUGUAGAAAAUAUUUGCUUUCUUUCUGGAGGGCUGUUGAAUGUUGAGUUCAUUCUUACACAGUACAUUAAUGCCACACUAUUAUAAAUGGCAUGGGUGAGACGACUAAUGUUCUCACAUGGAUAACUUGGAUAUCAAACACAAUCUAAAGAAGCACUUAACAAUAAAAAAAUAAAACACAAACACAAAGGUGUCUGUAGCAAAUUCAGUAAUAUUUCAUUACUGCUCAAUAAAACCUUAACACGGCAAAACAAGAACGGCUAAAGGCACUUUUGUCCUAUACAGGGACCUGUAAAAGGGGACUUUCACAAAGAGCAUCUGCAUUAGCAGUAUGGAGAAAUAACGGUGCUAUGAAUGCUUCAGUUUGUUAGGAUAGAGCUAAAAAUGCGGCAUUAAAAUAAAGUUACUCUAUCAAAUAACACAUUUACAGCCAAAAAGACAUCUUUCAUUGGCCCCAGCCAAUCCCUUCUAUAUAGUACUGCAGCAAUCAAUGGAGGGAAACCCAUGUGAAAACAGAACACCUCAGUGGGACUGUACUGUACUUCUAGUAUAGAUACUAACAACUCUAACUUAAAACUUGCCUUUUUUUUUUUUUUUUUUAAACAGUUUUUAAACAUGAUAGUGGUGGGCAGAGAUAGCCUACAGCAAGGUCUAGUGGAAAAAAACAAAACUGACUUUAUCUGUGGAUAACGAUAAAGUGUUGACAGACUGGUGAAAGGAGCAGAGCAGUGUGUUAAAUACCAAUCUUUCACCUAAA